UGGUGGAGUGAUUUGUCUGGUUAAUUCCGUUAACGAACGAGACCUCAGCCUGCUAAAUAGUUGCAUUCAACCUUUUGGUUGGAUGCUCAACUUCUUAGAGGGACUUUUGGUGCUAUAGCCAAAGGAAGUUUGAGGCAAUAACA
rnacentral:rRNA from 1 species